CCUACGGGUGGCAGCAGUGGGGAAUAUUGGGCAAUGGGCGCAAGCCUGACCCAGCAACGCCGCGUGAAGGAAGAAGGCUUUCGGGUUGUAAACUUCUUUUCUCAGGGACGAAGAAAGUGCCGGUACCUGAGGAAUAAGCCACGGCUAACUACGUGCCAGCAGCCGCGGUAAUACGUAGGUGGCAAGCGUUAUCCGGAUUUACUGGGUGUAAGGGGCGUGUAGGCGGGAAAGCAAGUCAGAUGUGAAAACCAUGGGCUCAACCUGUGGCCUGCAUUUGAAACUGUUUUUCUUGAGUACUGGAGAGGCAGACGGAAUUCCUCGUGUAGCGGUGAAAUGCGUAGAUAUGAGGAGGAACACCAGUGGCGAAGGCGGUCUGCUGGACAGCAACUGACGCUGAGGCGCGAAAGCGUGGGGAGCAAACAGGAUUAGAUACCCCUGUAGUC
rnacentral:rRNA from 1 species